GGUACCAUAGCUCAGUUGGUAGAGCAAAGGACUGAAAAUCCUUGUGUCAGUGGUUCGACUCCACUUGGUACCA
rnacentral:tRNA from 1 species